GAUGAACGCUGGCGGCGUGCCUAAUACAUGCAAGUCGAGCGAACAGAUAACGAGCUUGCUCCUUUGACGUUAGCGGCGGACGGGUGAGUAACACGUGGGUAACCUACCUAUAGGACUGGAAUAACUCCGGGAAACCGGGGCUAAUGCCGGAUAACAUUUAGAACCGCAUGGUUCUAAAGUGAAAGAUGGUUUUGCUAUCACUUAUAGAUGGACCCGCGCCGUAUUAGCUAGUUGGUAAGGUAACGGCUUACCAAGGCAACGAUACGUAGCCGACCUGAGAGGGUGAUCGGCCACACUGGAACUGAGACACGGUCCAGACUCCUACGGGAGGCAGCAGUAGGGAAUCUUCCGCAAUGGGCGAAAGCCUGACGGAGCAACGCCGCGUGAGUGAUGAAGGUCUUCGGAUCGUAAAACUCUGUUAUUAGGGAAGAACAAAUGUGUAAGUAACUGUGCACGUCUUGACGGUACCUAAUCAGAAAGCCACGGCUAACUACGUG
rnacentral:rRNA from 1 species